UAUGUAGGGGGGCUAGCGUUGUCCGGAAUCAUUGGGCGUAAAGAGCGUGUAGGCGGCUCGGUAAGUCCGCUGUGAAAGUCCAGGACUCAACCCCUGGAGUGCCGGUGGAAACUGUCGAGCUAGAGUCCGGAAGAGGCGAGUGGAAUUCCUGGUGUAGCGGUGAAAUGCGCAGAUAUCAGGAGGAACACCAAUGGCGAAGGCAGCUCGCUGGACGGUACUGACGCUGAGACGCGAAAGCGUGGAGC
rnacentral:rRNA from 1 species